rnacentral:rRNA from 1 species
UACGUAGGGGGCAAGCGUUGUCCGGAUUUAUUGGGCGUAAAGAGCUCGUAGGCGGUCUGUCGCGUCUGCUGUGAAAACUCAGGGCUUAACCCUGAGCUUGCAGUGGGUACGGGCAGACUAGAGUGCGGUAGGGGAGACUGGAAUUCCUGGUGUAGCGGUGAAAUGCGCAGAUAUCAGGAGGAACACCGGUGGCGAAGGCGGGUCUCUGGGCAACAACUGACGCUGAGGAGCGAAAGCGUGGGGAGCGAACAGG